rnacentral:misc_RNA from 1 species
UAAUAAGUGUUUUAUGGCACUUUUUUAAAUCCAUAUCCACCUUGUGUGCAAUGUCGGUCGAUCUUCUUUUUUUUGAGGAUCGACCCCCCCAAACAUCAACCUUUAUUUUUUAACUCUUUGUCUGAAAAAUAUUAUGAAUAAAACAAUUCAAAAUAC